GCUACCCAUCACAUGACCAGAACUAAAAGACUUCUGAAAAGCUGGAGGCUCUUGGAGGGGGCCUGGCCCAAAGGAGGCCAUUGAAGCCAACAUUUCUUUGACGUCUGCUCUGCGGGUUUAUCUUAAAAAUGCAGAAGUAGCCAAGAAAGACAGAGGGAUCCAGGGACCAGAGAACAAAAUGCCACCUUUCCCCUUGAGAGAGCCGUGCGAGAAUCUGCUUAGGAGAUUUUCCCAACCCAGGGAUCAAACCCGGCUCUCCCGCAUUGCAGGCAGACGCUUUACCAUCUGAGCCACCAGGGAAGCUCAACUAUAAAAUGGGUAUAAUCCCAACCUAGAAGAAUUGCAGUGAAGACUGAAGAGACAAUACGUACCAGUGAACCACAUCAGUCAAAUGGGUGCAAGGGCUGCCCUGGGUUCCUUCCCACGAGACCACACAGAGGGAGAA
ensembl:lncRNA